rnacentral:rRNA from 1 species
GACGAACGCUGGCGGCGUGCUUAACACAUGCAAGUCGAACGGAAAGGCCCUGCUUUUGUGGGGUUCUCGAGUGGCGAACGGGUGAGUAACACGAGAGUAACCUGCCCUUGACUUUGGGAUAACUUCAGGAAACUGCGGCUAAUACCGGAUAGGAGCUCCUGCUGCAUGGUGGUGGUUGGAAAGUUUCGGCGGUUGGGGAUGGACUCGCGGCUUAUCAGCUUGUUGGUGGGGUAGUGGCUUACCAAGGCUUCGACGGGUAGCCGGCCUGGGAGGGUGACCGGCCACAUUGGGACUGAGAUAGGGACCAGACUGCUACGGGAGGCAGCGGUGGGGAGUAUUGCACAAUGGGCGGAAGCAUGAUGCAGCAGCGCCGCGUGCGGGAUGACGGCCUUCGGGUUGUAAACCGCUUUCGACUGUGACGAAGCGUGAGUGACGGUAAUGGGUAAAGAAGCACCGGCUAACUACGUG